GGAGGGGUGGCCGAGUGGUUAAAGGCGGCAGACUGUAAAUCUGCUCACGUAAGUGUACGCUGGUUCGAACCCAGCCCCCUCCACCA
rnacentral:tRNA from 1 species